UGUCCCCGACCUGGGUAGAGUGACAUCUGGCAUCUCGUUGGUGGUGCCCAUCUCAUAUCAGCCAGGGAUAAAGCAUCUCCUUGUUCAUCCCAGCUUGGCUUUUGAUCUGUGCCCAUGCCUGGUUCCUGCCUUGGACACACAG
rnacentral:snoRNA from 1 species